rnacentral:rRNA from 1 species
UACGUAGGGGGCAAGCGUUGUCCGGAAUCAUUGGGCGUAAAGAGCGUGUAGGCGGCUCAAUAAGUCUGCUGUGAAAGUCCAGGGCUCAACCCUGGAAGGCCGGUGGAAACUGUCGGGCUAGAAUCCGGAAGAGGCGAGUGGAAUUCCCGGUGUAGCGGUGAAAUGCGCAGAUAUCGGGAGGAACACCAAUGGCGAAGGCAGCUCGCUGGGACGGUAUUGACGCUGAGACGCGAAAGCGUGGGGAGCAAACAGGG